UAUAAUUCUAAAAUUAGUGUAAAUUUAAAUAUUUUAAUAGAAAAGUAAACACUAGAAACCUUUUGUUUACUCAUUUAUUAAAUAUUUAUUUAGUCCCUACUAACUGCUGGGCCCUGGGCAUUGAAAAUAGAAAGGUAAAAAAUCAGACUGUAUUCCUGACUUCAUGAAGAUGUUUGAAGAUGGCUUGCUGAAUGGAUAAUUACAGCGAUAAAAACUGCCACUUGAAAAACUGGUAAUUGAGGGAUCUCACCUGGUCUGUGAUAUCAGAAUCUUUCCUGAUUUAAUCUGAGACUUGAAAAAUGAGUAGAUGGCAUAAAAAUAUUUUCAAACUAAACAUAUGAGGUUUUAUCUGGGGUUCACAAUGGACAUUAAAUCUUCCUAUCAAGAUUUAUAGCAAAAAAAAAAAAUAUUUAACUUUGUUGAAGCCAGCAUUUUCCAAAUUUGAUAUGCUCUCUUUUUGUGAGUAACAGGCAGUGAGAUACUAUUUAACACACUUUAGAAACGUCACCUCAGUAAUCUCGGGAGUCCUUUUCUUAUGUAUAAAGGAGAAAUCCUGUUCUGCCUAACAGUUAUUGGGGUUUUUUGGUAUGAGAUGCAUGGCUUUGAGGUGACUGGGUCUGAAACUUAAGGGUAUUUUUAUUAAGUUCUCUCUGGCUUUUCUGACAGUGGGAUUUUUUCAGAGCUGUGAAAUUUGAAUCUAGCCCCUAAAGUGUUUUGUGAAAUGUUAAUCUUAACACCCCCCUAUCCCAGGCAGUGAAUGGCUACCUUAUUUAAUAGAGCCAUUCUACUAGAAUUGCAUUUUUCUCUCUUUUAAAAAAAAAAUGUUUUCUUCAUGAUUAUUAGCAAAUGAGUGCAUUUCACUCUGUGGCUGUAAUGCCUGUUUUUCCCCCUUAAGGGGAAGAAACUGUUCUUUGUGAAAGAGCAGGACAAGGAAGAGGCAAAGGUAGGACUGAGGCUGAAUAUCUUAAGAGUCGGAUCAUCUGUACCUCCCUGCUUUUUGUAAUGUGCAAAUUGGAAAUUCUGAGUGUGCUUUUGAUUCUUAAAGAUUGCCACACCUAGCUGUGCUCUGUCUUUAUGAAUGAAGAGUUUGCACUUCUCUUUUCAGACUCCUUACGUCUUUAGCUAAGACUUCUGAGUUUCUUCUGUGACUUUGAUGGGUGUUGUAGGUGCUUGACCUGCAACUGUAUCUUACAAGAUCCUACCAAGGGACAGAUAUGAGUCUCAUAGCAAAGUCCCCACAUAUGGUUGAGUAAUAACUAUCUUCAGGAGCCUCUGCAUCUAGCUCUGCAUGAACAAGGCAAGAUCCCAAGGGUGGAUGUUGCUAAGAAUCAAAAAUCAUUGGCUCCUGAUUCUCAGCCACCUCAGAGUGGCGUUACUCAUACGUAAUGUCCCUAAAAUCACUUUUAAAGACAGGCUAGGAUACUGAAACUGCUGGCACUGGUGCAUCUCCUGACUGGAGAGGCUAUUCCAGAAGAGUCAUCACCCAGGAGCUGCAAAUAGGUGCAGUAGUAGCUCUGGUGAGAAUGGAACACAGAUACCUGAAGGAAGGAGAGUACAACCUCCCUUGUGUACUCAGAGGCCUCCUGAGAGCAGAGGAGCAGGUCUCUGUAGUUUGGGCUGAAUUUAACACUUGGGGAGAUCAAGAUAAGACAAGUCCUCAAUGUGUGUUUUCUGCCAUCACCUCAUCUAUUUUACAUCCACAGUUAGAAUCACUUGGCACUGUCAGAAUUUUGAGUGCUGUUGCCUAUCGUCAAGGAUGCAAAUAACAGUAAUUGCUGGCAAGGAUGUGGGGAAAAGGGUACAGAGGAGAGGAAAAGGGAAGGUACUAGGGAAUGAGACUGAUCAAGUUAUGAUAUACACAUGCACAAAUAUGACAUAAUAAACCCCACUAAUUUGUAUAAUUAUAAUGCAUCAAUAAACAAAUAAGAUUUUUAAAAAACUGCUGCCCAGGCCUCCUGCAUACCAGUGGGUUUCUGGAUCUGUGAGAGCAGGAGCUGGGCACUGGCAUCCUGUUAAAUGUCUCCAAGUGUGUGGUUGGGGUCAAGAACCACUGAGCUCCCCACCUGCCACACAAGAAUGCCAGCCUCCAUCCUUUCCCUCCUUCCCAGUGGCUGUAUGCCAGAGGAAGGAAGUCCUGUGUCGAGUUCCCCAGGGUCAUGGAGGAGCAGGGAUACCAGGGUCCAGCUGUUGUUGAGGUCCUCUCUAUGAGCUGUCUGCCAUCCCAACACAAAGGCCCCAAGGUUUAAAUUUAGC
rnacentral:lncRNA from 1 species